UUGAAAUUGUACGCGACGCACGCAUAAACACGCACAAAAGUUUUUUCAACGUUUAUUAAACAACAAAAAACGUACUUGUACCAGGUUUUUAUAAUUUUACUAGAGCAAGGCAAUUACGUCAACACUGAUUCUAGCCAGAACACUGCUUCCAGUCUUUAAAAAAGCAAGAUAUUGUAUGCCAACCCGCUCAAACCGAGAUGAGGACGUUCAGUGAAAUGUAGAAGUGCUGCCUCAUGUCAUUCUGCAAGACCCCAUUGCAAACACAAGCGUUUCGUCCAGAAAUCCAAAGAAUGGAGGUGUAUCGAAGUUGUGUAGCUGGUCUAACAACCCUGAGGCCAGCAUCACUAUAAAAGAGAAGACGCUACAACAAUAAAAUGACUUUCGUUCUGGG
rnacentral:misc_RNA from 1 species